CCUACGGGGGGCUGCAGUGAGGAAUAUUGGUCAAUGGACGAGAGUCUGAACCAGCCAAGUAGCGUGAAGGAUGACUGCCCUAUGGGUUGUAACCUUCUUUUAUAUGGGAAUACAAUGUUCCUCGUGUUGGAUUUUGUAUGUACCAUAUGACUAAGGAUCGGCUAACUCCGUUCCAGCAGCCGCGGUAAUACGGAGGAUCCGAGCGUUAUCCGGAUUUAUUGGGUUUAAAGGGAGCGUAGGUGGAUUGUUAAGUCAGUUGUGAAAGUUUGCGGCUCAACCGUAAAAUUGCAGUUGAAACUGGCAGUCUUGAGUACAGUAGAGGUGAGCGGAAGUCGGGGUGUAGCGGUGAAAUGCUUAGAUAUCACGAAGAACUGCGAUUGCGAAGGCAGCUAACUGGACUGCAACUGACACUGAGGAGCGAAAGUGUGGGUAUCAAACAGGAUUAGAUACCCGUGUAGUC
rnacentral:rRNA from 1 species